rnacentral:rRNA from 1 species
AUCAACGCUGGCGGCGUGCCUCAGACAUGCAAGUCGAACGCGAAAGGUUCCUUCGGGAACCGAGUAGAGUGGCGCACGGGUGAGUAACACGUAGGUAAUUUGCCUUUGGGUGGGGAAUAACAGCCGGAAACGGCUGCUAAUACCGCAUAAUGCAGCGGCUCGACAUCGAGACAGUUGUUAAAGCGGGGGAUCGCAAGACCUCGCGCCUAAAGAGAAGCCUGCGGCAGAUUAGCUAGUUGGUAGGGUAAUGGCCUACCAAGGCGACGAUCUGUAACCGGCCUGAGAGGGCGGUCGGUCACACUGACACUGACAUACGGGGUCAGACUCCUACGGGAGGCAGCAGUCGGGAAUUUUGGGCAAUGGGCGAAAGCCUGACCAGCAACGCCGCGUGAAGGAUGAAAUCCUCGGGAUGUAAACUUC